UACGUAGGGUGCGAGCAUUGUCCGGAAUUAUUGGGCGUAAAGAGCUCGUAGGCGGUUUGUCGCGUCUGCUGUGAAAACUGGGGGCUCAACCCCCAGCCUGCAGUGGGUACGGGCAGACUAGAGUGCGGUAGGGGAGAUUGGAAUUCCUGGUGUAGCGGUGAAAUGCGCAGAUAUCAGGAGGAACACCGAUGGCGAAGGCAGGUCUCUGGGCAUUACCUGACGCUGAGGUGCGAAAGCGUGGGGAGCAAACAGG
rnacentral:rRNA from 1 species